GUGGAGGAGGAAGGGAGAGAAAAAAUGUCAUGAUGGCCGCCGCUUUUCAAACCCUUCCUCCUCGUUUCUUUGUUACAAAGGGGGCGUUACCCACUUUCGUCAGUUGGUCACCGAGCCUCAGUUCGAGCGCAUCGUUUUAUUGUCGUCUCUUAGAAAUGUUUGAAGUUCUUGAUUUUAUUUAUAUUAUCUGUUUCUUAGUAGUCUGUGACGUGUGACAUGGGCAAAAAUGAAAAUUAAUUUUGAAGGAGCAUCCAGUUGUUUCUGCUUUUGCUUUUGGCGUUCCUAAAGAAGUGGCAGCCGGUAUCACGUUACGCCAUGUUUGAUUGGCUCACGGACAAGGUGCUGGACAUUCAAGCACCACACUUUUAGAAUAAACCUCAAGAGGCUAAAUCGUCGUCCAAGGGCGGCCAACAACAUUUGGAGAGCGAGUUGAUAGUUAAGUGGUAGUGUUAAGAGAAGAAUGGCCACUUUGUGGCUGCCAUUCGAGUUGUCUCCUGUCUUUCUCGACUCCACAACAUGGCCAUCAGUUGGAGGAUCCAGGGCCACUUCCUCGAUGAGAGUUGGAGAAAAUGGACUUUGCUGAAGUUUAGUCCCAAGUCUGGAGGCCGUUUCCAGAGUGCUUGGUGUGGAUGUAAUGAGCAAGUUGCAUUUCAGCUUGCAGGACUGACUCAACUCUAUGAGCAAAUCUCUUCUCGUUUGGGUUUGUGCAAGUGCAAGCUGGCUCGCUUUACACUACUCCAAUUACUACCGACUGUCAACAUUUGGCAGAACACAGCAGCAGCAGCAGUUCACACCUAGACCUCUAGUCAGUAAUUUUCUUUUAAUUUCAUGUCAAUUUAUAACAGCGUUAUUAGUGAAGCCCAUGGUCGUGCACAUUAUGUUGACGGCUGGAUUGUCUGUCCAGCGCCUGUUUGUUACCGUUUUAUGUCCACUUGCUAUUCGAAUGGUCGUUGGAAGCCAUGUUCCACUAAGUGUUUUAGUCUUCUUUUUUUAAUAGGUUUACUGCUUCAUUAGCUUGGGGAACAUUAUGCCUAUGGACGUGGCUUCUUUCGUUCCCUCUGAUUGGAGCCGCCAAUCUCGACUCAUCCGCCAGGAUCCAACAAGCCCUCGACGAAUUCCCAAGGGUUUCACUUUUUAAGACCACGGUGCCCUUUAAUCGGAUAGAGACUAAAGCUUUUUACGAGGCUAAAUCAAAUUUAAUGGGUCUCCUCCAAAGCUCCUUAUCCAUUCUCCUUACGCCAUUCUGGAAUACUACCGACACCGAUUGGAUUUAAUCAGCAACACGUGCCUGGAUCGCCAAUAUCUGGUGAAUUGGUCAUGGAUCAACCCUCGGAGAACCUCGGCAUAAUUCUCAAAUUCGGGAGGGGUGCCCAUACUCCGUCAACUAAAACAAUCACCGUUCGUCCAUGGAUUGUACCAUCAACUUGUUCCAGUUCCUCCAGUUAUACUCGACGUCCUGCGACUAGCUUCAAGCCAAGGCCCACCAUAGGCCUCCAUCCACCAGGCCUCGAUCUCCUGGCUCAUAUUGGAAUCUCCCAAUUGUACCCAGCACUACUCAUCGGGAAUAUACUACACUUCCGACAUCCGCCUCCUGUCGACUACCACCCGGCCGAGUAGCAUUCGUCCAACUCCAAAAAUUUCAUCCACAGCGGCCCGCCAAUUUACUAAACGCCCUUCUCUUUCGAGCCAGACCAGCUACACACGUAAUUUCUGAAGGAAAUAUUUCCUUCCGGCGUCCCGACUUCAACUCCGGAUUCCGCCCUGUGUAUUUUCUCAACCGUUUUUGAAGACCACGAAAUCUGCGAUUGAUCUCCAUACACACCGCCGCUGCCUUUGUUCAGUCGGGCGUGUGACCUUUGGACUUGAAGAAAACAGAAGCAGGCGGCCUGGCAGGUAACAGUAAUCGGUCGGCUUGAUGGGCGAAACACUUUCGAGGGACUCAGCCAUCGUCUGGGAUUUGUCGCGUUUGACUUUCAUCCGUCAGUUGACGGGGCACAACGGGCGACAUCGCUACCUGCUCCUGCACUUGGCUCACCAAAUGCGACCAGGAGGCCAGCGUCUGGCCAGCGUCAACUCCUCAACACCCUGGGCCAGAUCGGCCGCUCGCAGCACGCAGUUGAACGAGUGGGAACCUCGACUACGUCCAGGUUACCAACGAGGAAGCAUCGGCUCAAGUGAGGACGGAAGAAAACGGCCGAGAAACCGGAAGAAGAUUCUCCCGACGAUGGCGA